GUGACCUACGGGGGGCAGCAGUGGGGAAUUUUGGACAAUGGGCGCAAGCCUGAUCCAGCUAUUCCGCGUGUGGGAAGACGGCCUUCGGGUUGUAAACCACUUUUGUAGAGAACGAAAAGUCUGUUGAUAAUACCGACAGAUGAUGACGGUACUCUAAGAAUAAGCACCGGCUAACUACGUGCCAGCAGCCGCGGUAAUACGUAGGGUGCGAGCGUUAAUCGGAAUUACUGGGCGUAAAGGGUGUGCAGGCGGUUUUGCAAGCUGGAUGUGAAAGACCCGGGCUUAACCUGGGAAAGCCAUACAUU
rnacentral:rRNA from 1 species